rnacentral:rRNA from 1 species
GAUGAACGCUGGCGGCGUGCCUAAUACAUGCAAGUCGAGCGAACGGACGAGAAGCUUGCUUCUCUGAUGUUAGCGGCGGACGGGUGAGUAACACGUGGAUAACCUACCUAUAAGACUGGGAUAACUUCGGGAAACCGGAGCUAAUACCGGAUAAUAUUUUGAACCGCAUGGUUCAAAAGUGAAAGACGGUCUUGCUGUCACUUAUAGAUGGAUCCGCGCUGCAUUAGCUAGUUGGUAAGGUAACGGCUUACCAAGUCAACGAUGCAUAGCCGACCUGAGAGGGUGAUCGGCCACACUGGAACUGAGACACGGUCCAGACUCCUACGGGAGGCAGCAGUAGGGAAUCUUCCGCAAUGGGCGAAAGCCUGACGGAGCAACGCCGCGUGAGUGAUGAAGGUCUUCGGAUCGUAAAACUCUGUUAUUAGGGAAGAACAUAUGUGUAAGUAACUGUGCACAUCUUGACGGUACCCAAUCAGAAAGCCACGGCUAACUACGUG